rnacentral:rRNA from 1 species
UACGGAGGGGGCUAGCGUUGUUCGGAAUUACUGGGCGUAAAGCGCACGUAGGCGGUUUUCCAAGUCAGAUGUGAAAUCCCCGGGCUUAACCUGGGAACUGCAUUUGAUACUGGUUGACUAGAGGCCGGGAGAGGGUAGUGGAAUUCCCAGUGUAGAGGUGAAAUUCGUAGAUAUUGGGAAGAACACCGGUGGCGAAGGCGGCUACCUGGACCGGUACUGACGCUGAGGUGCGAAAGCGUGGGGAG